UCAAGCGACUAAGUGUAUGUGGUGGAUGCCUUGGCGAUUACAGGCGAUGAAGGACGUCGCAGCCUGCGAAAAGCCGUGGGGAGCUGGCAAGCGAGCACUGAUCCACGGAUGUCCGAAUGAGGGAACUCACCCGCAAGGGUAUCUUGAAGUGAAUACAUAGCUUCAAGAGGCGAACGCAGCGAACUGAAACAUCUAAGUAGCUGCAGGAAAAGAAAUCAACCGAGAUUCUGAAAGUAGCGGCGAGCGAAAUUGGAAGAGCCUGCAAGUGAUAUUGAAUUCGAUACUGGAACGGUCUGGAAAGUCCGGCUACAGAGGGUGAUAGCCCCGUACGGGAAAUUGGGUUCAAGGUACUGAGCUUGCGAGAAGUAGAGCGGGACACGUGAAAUCCUGCUCGAAGAUGGGGGGACCAUCCUCCAAGGCUAAAUACUCGUAAUCGACCGAUAGCGAACCAGUACUGUGAAGGAAAGGCGAAAAGAACCCCGGGAGGGGAGUGAAAUAGAUCCUGAAACCGCAUACAUACAAACAGUAGGAGCCCGCAAGGGUGACUGCGUACCUUUUGCAUAAUGGGUCAGCGACUUACGUUCAAUGGCAAGCUUAACCGAGUAGGGGAGGCGCAGCGAAAGCGAGUCCGAACAGGGCGACAUGAGUCGUUGGGCGUAGACCCGAAACCAGAUGAUCUAUCCAUGGCCAGGCUGAAGGUGUGGUAACACACACUGGAGGGCCGAACCGACUAGUGUUGCAAAAUUAGCGGAUGAGCUGUGGAUAGGGGUGAAAGGCUAAACAAAUCUGGAGAUAGCUGGUUCUCCCCGAAAACUAUUGAGGUAGUGCCUCGUGUAUGGCUCCAGGGGGUAGAGCACUGUUAUGGCUAGGGGGACAUGGCGUCUUACCAAACCAUGGCAAACUCCGAAUACUUGGAAGUCUGAGCACGGGAGACAGAGCACCGGGUGCUAACGUCCGGACUCAAAAGGGAAACAACCCAGACCGCCGGCUAAGGUCCCUAAUAUUGACUAAGUGGAAAACGAAGUGGGAAGGCUAAGACAGUCAGGAAGUUGGCUUAGAAGCAGCCAUCCUUCAAAGAAAGCGUAAUAGCUCACUGAUCGAGUCUUCCUGCGCGGAAGAUGUAACGGGGCUAAGUCAAUAACCGAAGCCGCGGAUUCGCAGCAAUGCGAGUGGUAGGGGAGCGUUCUGUAAGCCUGCGAAGGCGGAUCUGCGAGGACCGCUGGAGGUAUCAGAAGUGCGAAUGCUGACAUGAGUAACGUUAAAGCGGGUGAAAAGCCCGCUCGCCGCAAGCCCAAGGUUUCCUGCUCUACGUUCAUCGGAGCAGGGUGAGUCGGCCCCUAAGGUCAGGCUGAGAAGCGUAGCUGAUGGGAAGCUGGUUAAUAUUCCAGCACCGAUUUCAAGUGCGAAGGGGGGACGGAGUCCUGAAGGUCAUCCGGGUGUUGGAUAUCCCGGUUUACGAGCGUAGGAGGUUGACAGGCAAAUCCGUCAACGGAUCUCCAAGGCGAAGGAUCGAGGUUGAGAGAUCAACUGAAGUGACUGAAUGGGCUUCCAGGAAAAGCCUCUAAGCAUCAGCUUGGAAUUGACCGUACCGCAAACCGACACUGGUGGGCGAGCUGAAUAUGCUCAGGCGCUUGAGAGAACUCAGGAGAAGGAACUCGGCAAAUUGACACCGUAACUUCGGGAUAAGGUGUGCCUUUGUAGUGUGAAGAGAGAAACACUCCGAGCAUGAAGAGGCCUCAGAGAAUCGGUGGCUGCAACUGUUUACUAAAAACACAGCACUCUGCAAAGAUGAAAGUCGACGUAUAGGGUGUGAUGCCUGCCCGGUGCUGGAAGAUUAAUUGAUGGGGUGCAAGCUCCUGAUCGAAGUCCCAGUAAACGGCGGCCGUAACUAUAACGGUCCUAAGGUAGCGAAAUUCCUUGUC
rnacentral:rRNA from 1 species